GGGGGGGGCGGCUGGAGGCUCAGGUUUCCCCCCACCAUCCUCCGCUUCUUUGGUGCUGGCAGUGAUUGGCCGUGGCCAUGAUGUCAUCGCCUAAUCCAAACAGAAGGGGGGUUGGUGCUGGCUGGCGUCCCCAUGCUGAGUGCAGCAGUAAAUUUCAUUUCAAGGCUAUGAUUAGGACAGUGCCCAAGAAUUUCCUUUCUCUCUCCUUCCCUCUCCCCAUCCUAUUUUUCUUCCUGUUCUCCUGUCUCUCCUUCCCUCCCCUCCUCUCCCCUGGCCCUCUCUUCUCCGGGAUGCUGAAGGUUCGCCCGGUGGCCAGCACCGGUCCAGGCUCUUGCCGCCUUCCGUGAGGCUCCGUGACCAGCCCUGGCAUGUACGGGCUCGGUCCCAGCCCCGAGACGGCACCCAGGGAGUACGGGGUGAGAAUCCCUAAGGGCGCUCGUUCAACCUUGAGCUGAAACGCCAGAACAGGAGAGAGAGCAGGGGUGGGGUGGCCCGGGUCAUCAACGAAAAGAUCGGAAGACAGCAGAGCCAUGAGAGGCAAGGAGAAACGCAGCUCCUUAGAAAGUGAGUCGUUGGGUCCUUAUGGCCAUCUCCAGAUGGUUUCUGGAGUUUGGGUCUGGCCCAUUGGCACCUUCAGCCCCUCCUUGGCUGGGGGGACCUGCCGGGCUCCACACCCUUUGGUGACUGCGUCUGACGCCAAAGGGACGGUCCAGCCCCCAGAGGCAGGUGGGACCAUGGGAGCGGUUCCACACCAUAUCCCCCUGCUUCUCUCCUCUUCCCGGGGACCCCCAAGCUCUGUCCUAGGGUUCCUGGCCCCAGAGAGAAGCCUGAGAGCCAGCCACCUGAGUGUCCCCUGCAUCCUCCAGCUGCCACUCAGCACACCCCCAACAAGUGUGACCUAGAUGCCCACGGGGGAGGCGCUGGGGUCUGGGGGUGGUGAUGUUCCUGCACCGAGCGCGCUGUGGGUCCUCGUCAUUGCUCCCCUAUCGCAUCGGACUGUGGUCUGACUCCUCGGGGACGUGGGGGGGGGGCGCCCGCGUUCCCCGACCCCCGACCUCCAGCAGACCCGAGCACUCCUUCCCCACCGAGCCUUGGUGUGGCCCAAGAUCCCUCCUCGCUGUGCCCCAGGCCGCGGGCCCAGCCAGCCGAAGGCAGCGCCCAGUGGAGUUGCGUGGAGAAUGAGUCGCCCUAAGAGGGAGCGGGGAUGGACAUGACCCGGUCAUAGCUCACUGUCUGGCCUCCUUAGGCCCCUUGCGUGUCCCCUAGCAGGUUACUCGUCUUUGUGUCUGUCUUCCCCUCGACUCCCUGCUCCUUAAGGUUAUGGCUCAUUUGUUCGUUCAUCGAUUCAGUGAGGAUGUGUUGGGCACCCGCCAUCUGCCAGGCCUGUGCAGGUGCCGGGCGCCCAGAGGGAACAGACGUGGCCCGGUUUUUCCUCCAGCAGCAACCGGCCGUUAGCAGAAACGCGGACAGAAACAAGUACAAGCAGCAUACUCACAUGGAGGGAGAGCCACCCAUCCCCAGCUUCCAGAACCAUCAGCUCAUCAGCACCGGCCCCAGUGGGAUCUUCUGAAGCAAAUCCCAGAUGUUGUAGUUCCUGGCCAUACGCCCAAUCAGGGUCCACUGAACCAGGCUGCCCGGUGACUUCUGCUUGUGACCCGGAAGGCCUCUCUGCCCUGAACCCCCUCCCUUGGACACCAGGGUUGGAGGAGACCCAGGGGAGGGCAGAGCAUCUCAAGUGUGGGCUCCAUGCUGUCAGCACAGAGUCGAACAUGGGGCUUGAACUCAUGAACCACAUGAUCAUGACCUAAUCUGAAGGCGGACCCUUAGCUGACUAAACCCAGGAAGGCAUCUACGCGAGGCUGGUGUGCUAGUGGCAAGUCCCGAGCAGGGUGUGACGAUCUCGAACGGCAGAGAGUCCCGGGGCCACCCAAGUUCCAGCCGUUCUCAGACGCGUGACCCCACAACCCGCCUCCCCAGGCCCGCCGCGGCCCUCGUCCCGUCCUCAUGUGCACGGAGCCGCACGCGAGACGGGCAGCUCACCCACUUGUGCUGGGGGCUCGGGGCUGAAGCCUCUGCUGAUCUUUGGGCCCCUUGGGGCGGGGGGCUCAGCCGGUCCAGCGUCCGACUGCGGCUCAGGUCACGAUCUCGCGGUCUGUGAGUUCGAGCCCCGCGUCGGGCUCUGUGCUGACAGCUCGGAGCCUGGGGCCCGCUUCCCAUUCUGUGUCUCCCCCUCUCUCCCUGCCCCUGCCCUGCUCACACUCUGCCUCUCUUUCUCUCUCUUGAAAAAUGAAUAAAUGUUAAGAAAAACAUUUUUAAAGCCUCUGCUGGUCUCCAGCCAGGGAUUCAUGACAGGUGAGAUUCUCUGCCACCCUCUCCGUCUCCAGUGGGUCACCCCCCAAGCUCCAGCUGCUUGAGAGGUGAGUGCCUGUGGCCCCCCCACCGCCCUUACAGUGAACAUCGUGUGACCCCUGCAUGGGGAGAUGCCAAGGCCACUUUUUGUUGAAAUGCAACACACAUGCAGAGAACACAGACCUUAAGGGUGAAUGGAGCUCGGUCCAUCCCUGCCGUGUGCACACAGCUCGCGACCACCGUCCAGAACAAGAAAUGGCCCGUCACCAGCACGCGUGGAGCACCGCCUCCUGCGUGUCCCCUCCGGGUCAGUCCUCCCUGCUUAGACCUCGGCCCUGACCACCAGCACUGGGACUCACUCUGCCAGGCUUCUAUUUUAGGCCAGGCCGCCUCAAACACACAUUGUGCCAAAAACCUGUCCGGUCAUUUCUGCAAAGAUGAUUUGACUGGCUUAGAAAAUACGUACUCACGGCUUGGUUCAGUUAGACUUUGAAUUUCUAAGCAACCGUCCGUCUGUCUUUAUCGGUAUCGGGUGACCACGUCAGAGGAAAAGUCAGCAACAUCCAGAAUGAUCCCACCCCUCCCUUCCCUUUCUGGGGGAGCACCCUGGGACAGGACAGAAGCACAGGCGACACAUGAGGGGAAGUUCCACUCCCCGGGGACAACGAGAAGAUGUCAGACAUCGUGACGCCCCUGAGUCGACAGGCCCUGGGACCCUGCUUCCGGGCUCCCUGUCAGGUGACGUUUUCAAACCGUUCUUGUCUACACCCGUCGAGUGUGGGUUUUCGUUCACUGGCAGGCCAGACAGAGGGCCAGCGUCCGGACAGGAGCCGGGGGUCUCUCAGGCGGGUGAAGAAGGCCCUGAGCCCGGGACGGCGACCGGCUGGUUCUGGCGGAAGGGCCGCGAACCCGGGGCUCAGGCCUUGGGCGCCCCCGGGUGCAGAGGGAGCCGGCCGGGUAUGCUUUUGUCAGACCAACUCUCAGAACACGCUUGCUUUCGAGGCUUUCUUUUAUCGGUGCUCCGCAAAGCGGCUUCACGUGCAAAAGCUCCCCCGUAGCCUGGGUGUGGGAGGGAAUCUGACUCAUGAGAAGCCGGCCUCCAAGGGUGGCAGCGUGUCCUGGGCUGAGGCCACAGCCAUCACCAGGCGACGUGCUGAUAACAGAACAGCACCAGCGGCCUCCUGCCGCUGCCCUGGGAAGACGCACUCACGCGCCUGCCCUCUUCCACCGAGGUCGCCUCUGGAGGGACUCCAGGGCAGCCUCCUUCCUGCAUUUCAGCUUUGAAAAUGACAGGCCAGGG